rnacentral:rRNA from 1 species
GGAUUAGAUACCCUGGUAGUCCACGCCGUAAACGAUGGAUACUAGGCGCAGUGGGUAUUGACCCCCGCUGUGCCGUAGCUAACGCAUUAAGUAUCCCGCCUGGGAAGUACGGCCGCAAGGUUAAAACUCAAAGGAAUUGACGGGGGCCCGCACAAGCGGUGGAGCAUGUGGUUUAAUUCGACGCAACGCGCAGAACCUUACCCAGACUUGACAUUGAAGGAAUCCCUUGGAAACUUGGGAGUGCUCUUCGGAGCCCUGAAAACAGGUGCUGCAUGGCUGUCGUCAGCUCGUGCCG